GCUUUGCCUAGUUUAUUUAACUUUAUUUGUAAACUUCUAACAGAAGAGUUGUGGCUGGUUUACUGGAUGCUGGUUUACUGGAUGCACCCAUUUAAGAGAUUUUUAAAAAUUAUUUUUAUUUAUUUUAUUUAUUUAUUUUUAUUUUAGAACCUGCUUGGUUUUGGGAUGCAGAAAGAAGAACUGCUUUCUUAUCACUUGAGGAUAAAGUUUCAUUCUUUAUUUUUCACCUGAACCUAGUGUCAACAAUUGUUUUAUAGUUAACUCCUGUCAAAUUGCAAUCUCUGGUAAGGUUUUGUAAUACCUUAGAGCCGAUAGAAAUUAAAGGAUAAAGAACCAAUUAGUUAAACACUCCAUACAGUGAUUAUGUUUGCUGACCUUGUGUCAGAACAUUAUCACACAGAUACGUAGUGGUACAAAUGGCUGACAGCUGGGCAGGAUCACUCCAUUAUCAGGAGGCCAGAGAAUCUCCCUGCCCCAGGAGCCAUAGUAAGUAAUAUAAGGACCUCUUGGUUUGAGAAAGGAUAGACUUUGAGUCUUUGGGAUCCUGGGGUGGGGAUUGACUUCUACAAGUUUGUGAAGAGUUAAUAUAAGCUAAACUUCUGGGAGUAUGCUAGCUUUAACAGUAUCUGCAGCUGUAUCUAGAACCCAUGUCUCUUUGGAGGGAUGUACACUUUAGUAGUUGGGUUUCUUGUGUGUCUGUCUGCUGAACCACCUCAUCACAGGAAUGAAAAUUUAAACUCUGAUUUGAAUCAACUAUUGGAAGAACUUAUCAGGGAAAUGGAUAGGCUGAUGGAUAUCAGCUGCUAUCUCUACAUCAAGCUGCCUCCCUCUUCUUCAGAUUAACCCUGACAAUGAGUGUUCCCACAGGCUGAUAACUCAGGUAAAUGUGCAGCAGGGAGUAUACCACAGAGGCCUGGGGAAAAAGAAAUGGAGGUUGGAGUGUUUGCAUUAUGCAGGAGCACCUGCACCCAAGUCUCAGCUUCAUUCCUCACCACCGCAGUCAUGCCAAACAAGUCAAUUAGACUGUUCAAGUGUUUAAAGUUAAGCCCAUCCUACGUGCUUCACUGGACUGGAAGAUCAGGUCUUUGGUAUGACUAAGUGGGGAUAAUAGUCUGUUGAUUGUUAGAAGUUCCUGGAACAAUCAGAACUCUAGUCACUCUGCCAAAACAUUAUUCACUGUAAUUAGGACAAUGAACAUCACUACACUCCUGUUCACUUCACCUCUCAUCCAUUUCUCCUCUGAUGAGCUUGUACAAUCUUUCAUAAAC
rnacentral:lncRNA from 1 species